GGCAAAAGCUCAAAUUUGAAAUCUGGUACCUUCGGUGCCCGAGUUGUAAUUUGGAGAGGGCAACUUUGGGGCCGUUCCUUGUCUAUGUUCCUUGGAACAGGACGUCAUAGAGGGUGAGAAUCCCGUGUGGCGAGGAGUGCGGUUCUUUGUAAAGUGCCUUCGAAGAGUCGAGUUGUUUGGGAAUGCAGCUCUAAGUGGGUGGUAAAUUCCAUCUAAAGCUAAAUAUUGGCGAGAGACCGAUAGCGAACAAGUACAGUGAUGGAAAGAUGAAAAGAACUUUGAAAAGAGAGUGAAAAAGUACGUGAAAUUGUUGAAAGGGAAGGGCAUUUGAUCAGACAUGGUGUUUUGUGCCCUCUGCUCCUUGUGGGUAGGGGAAUCUCGCAUUUCACUGGGCCAGCAUCAGUUUUGGUGGCAGGAUAAAUCCAUAGGAAUGUAGCUUGCCUCGGUAAGUAUUAUAGCCUGUGGGAAUACUGCCAGCUGGGACUGAGGACUGCGACGUAAGUCAAGGAUGCUGGCAUAAUGGUUAUAUGCCGCCCG
rnacentral:rRNA from 1 species